rnacentral:rRNA from 1 species
AGAGUUUGAUCCUGGCUCAGGAUGAACGCUGGCGGCGUGCUUAACACAUGCAAGUCGAACGAAACACCUUAUUUGAUUUUCUUCGGAACUGAAGAUUUGGUGAUUGAGUGGCGGACGGGUGAGUAACGCGUGGGUAACCUGCCCUGUACAGGGGGAUAACAGCUGGAAACGGCUGCUAAUACCGCAUAAGCGCACGAGGAGACAUCUCCUUGUGUGAAAAACUCCGGUGGUACAGGAUGGGCCCGCGUCUGAUUAGCUGGUUGGCAGGGUAACGGCCUACCAAGGCAACGAUCAGUAGCCGGUCUGAGAGGAUGAACGGCCACAUUGGAACUGAGACACGGUCCAAACUCCUACGGGAGGCAGCAGUGAGGAAUAUUGGUCAAUGGACGAGAGUCUGAACCAGCCAAGUAGCGUGAAGGAUGACUGCCCUAUGGGUUGUAAACUUCUUUUAUAUGGGAAUAAAGUUUUCCACGUGUGGAAUUUUGUAUGUACCAUAUGAAUAAGGAUCGGCUAACUCCGUGCCAGCAGCCGCGGUAAUACGGAGGAUCCGAGCGUUAUCCGGAUUUAUUGGGUUUAAAGGGAGCGUAGAUGGAUGUUUAAGUCAGUUGUGAAAGUUUGCGGCUCAACCGUAAAAUUGCAGUUGAUACUGGGUGUCUUGAGUACAGUAGAGGCAGGCGGAAUUCGUGGUGUAGCGGUGAAAUGCUUAGAUAUCACGAAGAACUCCGAUUGCGAAGGCAGCCUGCUAAGCUGCAACUGACAUUGAGGCUCGAAAGUGUGGGUAUCAAACAGGAUUAGAUACCCUGGUAGUCCGCACGGUAAACGAUGAAUGCUCGCUAUGGGCGAUACAAUGUCCGUGGCCAAGCGAAAGCGUUAAGCAUUC